GAUGAACGCUAGCUACAGGCCUAACACAUGCAAGUCGAGGGACCGGCGCUCGGGUGCGUAACACGUAUCCAACCUGCCCUUUACUCGGGGAUAGCCUUUCGAAAGAAAAAUUAAUCCACGAUCUCAAGGAUGGGGGUGCGUUCCCUUAGGUUGUUGGUGAGGUAACGGCUCACCAAGCCUUCGAUGGAUAGGGGUGCUGAGAGGAAGGCCCACGGCAUGGGAACUAAGGCCCAGACCAAAACGCGACGCAAGAGAGGAGUAAGUUGUAUAAGUCAAGCAGGGCUAGCCUGAACCAGCCAAGUAGCGUGAAGAAGGAAUGGUUAGUAGUCGUAAUCUUGUGGGGUAGAAGAAGAGGUAUUAUAUGAAUAAGGAUCGGCUAACUCCGUGCCAGCAGCCGCGGUAAUUC
rnacentral:rRNA from 1 species